rnacentral:rRNA from 1 species
GACGAACGCUGGCGGCGUGCCUAAUACAUGCAAGUAGAACGCUGAAGGAGGAGCUUGCUUCUCUGGAUGAGUUGCGAACGGGUGAGUAACGCGUAGGUAACCUGCCUGGUAGCGGGGGAUAACUAUUGGAAACGAUAGCUAAUACCGCAUAAUAGCAGUUGUUGCAUGACAACUGUUUGAAAGGUGCAAUUGCACCACUACCAGAUGGACCUGCGUUGUAUUAGCUAGUUGGUGGGGUAACGGCUCACCAAGGCGACGAUACAUAGCCGACCUGAGAGGGUGAUCGGCCACACUGGGACUGAGACACGGCCCAGACUCCUACGGGAGGCAGCAGUAGGGAAUCUUCGGCAAUAGACGGAAGUCUGACCGAGCAACGCCGCGUGAGUGAAGAAGGUUUUCGGAUCGUAAAGCUCUGUUGUAAGAGAAGAACGAGUGUGAGAGUGGAAAGUUCACACUGUGACGGUAUCUUACCAGAAAGGGACGGCUAACUACGUG